rnacentral:rRNA from 1 species
GACGAACGCUGGCGGCGUGCUUAACACAUGCAAGUCGAACGGAAAGGCCCUGCUUUUGUGGGGUGCUCGAGUGGCGAACGGGUGUGUAACACGUGUGUAACCUGCCCUUGACUUUGGUAUAACUUCAGGAAACUGGGGCUAAUACCGGAUAGGAGCUUCUGCUGCAGGGUGGGGGUUGGAAAGUUUCGGCGGUUGGGGAUGGACUCGCGGCUUAUCAGCUUGUUGGUGGGGUAGUGGCUUACCAAGGCUUUGACGGGUAGCCGGCCUGAGGGGGUGACCGGCCACAUUGGGACUGAGAUCCGGCCCAGCCUCCUACGGGAGGAAGAAGUGGGGAAUAUUGCACAAUGGGCGGAAGCCUGAUGCAGCAACGCCGCGUGCGGGAUGACGGCCUUCGGGUUGUAACCCGCUUUCGCCUGUGACGAAGCGUGAGUGACGGUAAUGGGUAAAGAAGCACCGGCUAACUACGUG